UAUUCUUUUGUUAGAAUAAAUA
rnacentral:tRNA from 1 species